GCUCGGGCGCUUCCGCAAAGAUGGCGGCGGCUGCGGGAAGAAGCGCUUGGCUGGCGGCCUGGGGCGGAAGGCUGCGGCGCGGGCUCGCGGCCGGCCGACGAGCUGUGCCGACUCGCGGCCCUCUCGCAGCGGCUGUGGCCGGGGUAGCCCUGGCAGGCGCAGGAGCGGCAUGGCAUCACGGCCGCGUGAAAGCAGCCGCGCGCGAGGGCUCCCGAACGGUGUCGGCGCAGAAAAAUUAUUUGGGACCAAUAGAGAAACUUUCUCUCCGCAAACAGCGGUUCAUGCAGUUUUCAUCCCUGGAGCACGACGGAGAGUAUUACAUGACACCCCGAGACUUCCUCUUCUCAGUCAUGUUUGAGCAAGUGGAGCGUAAAACACUGGUCAAGAAGCUGGCAAAAAAGGAUAUCGAGGAUGUACUGUCAGGAAUCCAAACAGCACGCUGUGGAUCAACAUUUUUUAGAGACCUGGGUGAUAAAGGGGUAAUUUCAUAUACCGAGUAUCUUUUCUUGCUUACAAUCCUCACAAAACCUCACUCUGGGUUCCAUGUUGCUUUUAAAAUGCUGGAUGUGGAUGGGAAUGAGAUGAUCGAGAGGAAGGAGUUUGUUAAGACUGGUACAAAUGACUCUGAAAGCUGCAGAAGAUCAUAAGUAAACAAGAUGGCUUCAAGACAGUGAAGACUAAUGAGACAGAAUACCAGGACCCAACAGUGAAAGAGCCUGGCGUUAACACAACCCUUCAAGUGCGUUUCUUUGGGAAAAGAGGAGAAAAAAAACUCCAUUAUAAAGAAUUUCGAAGAUUUAUGGAAAAUUUACAAACAGAAGUUCAAGAAAUGGAAUUCCUUCAGUUCUCUAAAGGCCUGAAUUUCAUGAGAAAAGAAGACUUUGCAGAAUGGCUACUUUUCUUCACUAACACUGAAAAUAAAGAUAUUUACUGGAGAAACGUGAGAGAAAAGUUGUCAGUAGGAGAGAGCAUUAGUUUGGAUGAGUUCAAGUCCUUUUGCCAUUUUACAACGCAUUUGGAAGACUUUGCUAUCGCCAUGCAAAUGUUUAGUUUAGCUCAUCGCCCUGUGCGGCUGGCAGAGUUCAAGAGAGCUGUGAAGGUAGCGACUGGACAGGAGCUCUCGGACAAUCUUCUGGACACCGUCUUCAAGAUCUUUGACCUGGACGGGGACGAGUGCCUCAGCCACGGCGAGUUCCUUGGGGUACUGAAAAACAGGAUGCACCGAGGCUUAUGGGUGUCACAGCAGCAGAGUGUGCAAGAAUACUGGAAGUGUGUGAAGAAGGAAAGCAUCAAGGGAGUAAAGGAAGCCUGGAGACAACAAGCCGGCAAGGGCCCCUUCUAAGGGGAAGCUGAUGGAGCUCCAGGAGCCAGAAAGUGGUUUUUCCAAGAGCUGACUGUUUCUAUGUCUUCAUUGAGUUUCUUUUGAGUGUGAAGAUGUGAAGACUCACUUUCUGAUUUGGGGGAUUUGGGAGGGAUGACGGGAGGUGAAUAAGUGUGUGCCACAGUGGGAAGUCAGAGGCCAGCCUGUAGGAGCUGGUUCUCUCUGUCUACCAUGGGAGUCCCAGAGAUUGAACUCAGGUCUCGAGCUUUGACAUCAAGUGCCUUUACCUGAUGAGCCAUCUCACCAGCUCCGACUCCAUCAUUUCUUGGUGAAUUUUCAUUACACAAAGUAUUCCUUUAUGAAAAUACACACUGCUCUAUUAAAGACUUGUGUACAAAGUGUGCUUUCUGGAGGGCUAAACAAGUCAGGGAAGGAACUUCAUUCCCAAGACAGGUACUGAUCCCAGAAGCCGUGAUAGCUUAGGGAAUACUUGCAGUUAAAGGCUUGCUCCAGUGUUCUUUGCUCCCUGCCUUGAAAUAGCACAUAAUGGCAGUGUCCGGUCUGGCAGCAGGAUGAAGUAUUUACAUUGAUACAAAAAAAUUUUUUCUUUUUUAAAUGUUCCAUGCUUUUGAAAUAUAAAUAGAGUGUCCUCUCCCAGACACUCCCAGGGGAGCUCAGCCAGCAAAGGACACAGCUGUGUACCAUGCUUUCCUAACAAGCAGCACACAGAGUUCCAUCUAAAACCACUCAUACACACACAGAUCACACACAGAUCACACACAUACAGUGAUCAUAAUAGCAAGUUUUCUUAAGCUACGGGAUCUUGGGUUGUGGGAAAUAUGGCACUAUAAAGUAGCUUGCAAUAAAAUAAAUAGGAAAUAAUGUUAUGUGGAGAUGGACAUGUGUAUGUAUACAGGUGGACAUACAUGUGUGUGUGGAAGCCCCUGCUCCUGUAAAUACCCCCAUGUUUCUGAAGUGAUCCCAAUAAACCCAUGAGCUCACCAAGCUAGACUUGGGUGAUAUUGCUA